rnacentral:rRNA from 1 species
UUUCGCAAUGCCCGAAAGGGUGACGAAGCGACGCCGCGUGCGGGAAGAAGGCCUUCGGGUUGUAAACCGCUGUCGGGAGUUAAGAAAUGUAAGGAUGUUAAUAGCAUCUUUACUUGACUAAGGCUCCGGAGGAAGCCACGGCUAACUCUGUGCCAGCAGCCACGGUAAGACAGAGGUGGCAAGCGUUGUUCGGAAUCAUUGGGCGUAAAGAGCACGUAGGCGGUUUUGCAAGUCUGGUGUGAAAGCCCCUGGCUUAACCAGGGAAUUGCAUUAGAUACUACAAGACUUGAGUACAGUAGGGGAGAGCGGAACUUCUAGUGGAGCGGUGAAAUGCGUAGAUAUUAGAAGGAACGCCGGCGGCGAAAGCGGCUCUCUAGGCUGUAACUGACGCUGAGUGUGCGAAAGCUAGGGGAGCAAACGGGAUUAGAUACCCCGGUAGUCCUAGCCGUAAACGAUGGGCACUAAGUAGAGGGGUUUU